GAUGAAGAACGUAGCGAAAUGCGAUAAGUAACGUGAAUUGCAGAAUUCAGUGAAUCAUCGAAUCUUUGAACGCACAUUGCGCCCGCCAGUAUUCUGGCGGGCAUGCCUGUUCGAGCGUCAUUUCAACCAUCAAGCCCCCGGCUUGUGUUGGGGACCUGCGGCUGCCGCAGGCCCUGAAAAGCAGUGGCGGGCUCGCUGUCACACCGAGCGUAGUAGCAUACAUCUCGCUCUGGGCGUGCUGCGGGUUCCGGCCGUAAAACCACCUUCAUAACCCAAGGUUGACCUCGGAUCAGGUAGGAAGACCCGCUGAACUUAAGCAUAUCAAUAAGCGGAGGA
rnacentral:misc_RNA from 1 species